rnacentral:rRNA from 1 species
UACGUAGGUGGCGAGCGUUAUCCGGAAUUACUGGGUGUAAAGGGUGCGUAGGCGGGAUUUUAAGUCAGUUGUGAAAACCCAAGGCUUAACCAUGGGAGUGCAACUGAAACUGAAGUUCUUGAGUGUGGGAGAGGAAAGCGGAAUUCCUAGUGUAGCAGUGAAAUGCGUAGAUAUUAGGAGGAACACCGGUGGCGAAGGCGGCUUUCUGGACCAUAACUGACGCUGAGGCACGAAAGCGUGGGGAGCAAACAGG